rnacentral:rRNA from 1 species
CGGGUGAGUAUACGUGAUAAUCUCCCCUCGAGCUUGGGAUAACUCUGCGAAAGCGGGGCGAAUACCGAAUAAGACCACAUGGCAUAUGCCAAGGGGUAGAAGGUGGCUUGUAUUUAUAUAAGCUAUCACUUGAGGAUGAGUCCAUGGCCUAUCAGCUUGUUGGUGAGGUAAGAGCUCACCAAGGCUAUGACGGGUAGCUGGUCUGAGAGGAC